rnacentral:rRNA from 1 species
AUGCUGACGGUGGAGGAAUUCGAAACUGCAUGGAAGCAACUGACAGAAUCACAUGGUUUGGAAAAACAUCCUUACCUUACUCACAUCUAUGAAACAAGAGCAAAAUGGGCUGAACCAUACUUCAAAGGUAAAUUCUGUGCCAAAAUGACAAGCAAACAGCGCAGCGAGAGUGCCAACCAUAUGCUCAAGGGUUAUGUUCCAGCAAGCUGCCCCAUGCAUCUCUUUGUUUGAUAGUACAUGUGGCUUCUUUUUGAUAGGGAAGCAAGUGACAACUAUGAGAGGAGGCGCACAAAAAUAGUAAGUUUUCAAAAUAUCAUAUCUUUCUUAGUGACUGAUGUGUGCUAUGUAACUGAUGCAUUCUCCACACAAACAGGUAGCCCCAGUAUUGAAAAUGAACACGCCAAUAGAGCUGCAUGCAAGCAGAGUCUAUACACAAGCCAUGUUCUAAAAAUCUGGUCAGAUUAUAUACGAAGCAGGUCAAUACAGAGUAGAGGAGGUGACUAG